CCUACGGGGCGCAGCAGUGGGGAAUAUUGCACAAUGGGGGGAACCCUGAUGCAGCGACGCCGCGUGGGUGAAGAAGUCAUUCGUGACGUAAAGCCCUAUCAGCAGGGAAGAAAAUGACGGUACCUGACUAAGAAGCCCCGGCUAACUACGUGCCAGCAGCCGCGGUAAUACGUAGGGGGCAAGCGUUAUCCGGAUUUACUGGGUGUAAAGGGAGCGUAGACGGCAGGGCAAGUCUGGAGUGAAAGGCGGGGGCUCAACCCCCGGACUGCUCUGGAAACUGCCAGGCUGGAGUGCAGGAGAGGUAA
rnacentral:rRNA from 1 species